rnacentral:rRNA from 1 species
GAUGAACGCUGGCGGCGUGCUUAACACAUGCAAGUCGAACGGAAAGGCUCCUGCUUGCCGGGGUCCUCGAGUGGCGAACGGGUGAGUAACACGUGGGUGAUCUGCCCUGCACUUCGGGAUAAGCCUGGGAAACUGGGUCUAAUAUCGGAUAGGACCACAUAUUGUAUGGUGUGGUGGCAAGAAUUUCGGUGUGGGAUGAGCUCGCGGCCUAUCAGCUUGUUGUUGGGGUAAUGGCCUACCAAGGCGUCGACGGGUAGCCGGUCUGUGAGGGUGUACGGCCACAUUGGGACUGAGAGACGGCCCAGACAGCUACGGGAGGCAGCAGUGGGGAAUAUUGCACGAUGAGCGCAAGCCGGAUGCAGCGACGCCGCGUGGGGGAUGACGGCCUUCGGGUUGUAAACUCCUUUCGCGAGGGACGAAGCGUUUUUGUGACGGUACCUGGAGAAGAAGCACCGGCUAACUACGUG